GGCUCGGUGGCGGAUGGUUCGCGCCUGCAACGAUUGUUGUUGUACCGCCACGUUGAGCAGGCAGGAAUUCCUCGUUCGAUUCGAGGCCGAGCCA